rnacentral:tRNA from 1 species
UACCCCUGUGAUGUAAUUGGAAAACAUCACUCGCUCAGAACGAGUGUUUUUUGCAGGUUCGAGGCCUGUCAGGGGUAU